rnacentral:snoRNA from 1 species
GUAUACAUUUUAUUGUUUUUUUUAUCUUUACACCAAGAGAAAAGAUAUUUCUGAUGUGUCAAACAAACUUUUGGAGAUAAAUUAGUAUCAUGACUAUUUCUGCAACUGCUUUCAGUGACCUUCAGACAAGC